rnacentral:tRNA from 18 species
UGGGGUAUCGCCAAGCGGUAAGGCAGCGGGUUUUGAUCCCGCCAUCCCCAGGUUCGAAUCCUGGUACCCCAGCCA